GAAAAGCUCGAAGCUAACAUCUUCGGGUCUUGACCUAACCUACAGAAAAAGCACCGGCUAACUCUGUGCCAGCAGCCGCGGUAAUACAGAGGGUGCGAGCGUUAAUCGGAAUUACUGGGCGUAAAGCGCGCGUAGGCGGUUUUGUAAGUCGGAUGUGAAAGCCCCAGGCUUAACCUGGGAACUGCAUUCGAGACUGCAUGACUGGAGUAUGGGAGAGGGCAGUGGAAUUUCCGGUGUAGCGGUGAAAUGCGUAGAUAUCGGAAGGAACAUCAGUGGCGAAAGCGACUGCCUGGCCCAAUACUGACGCUCAUGUGCGAAAGCGUGGGGAGCAAACAGGAUUAGAUACCCUGGUAGUCCACGCCAUAAACGAUGACAACUAGACGUCGGGAGGAUUUGCCUCACGGUGUCGCAGCUAACGCGUUAAGUUGUCCGCCUGGGGAGUACGGCCGCAAGGUUGAAGCUCAAAGGAAUUGACGGGGACCCGCACAAGCGGUGGAGCAUGUGGUUUAAUUCGAUGCAACGCGAAGAACCUUACCUGGCCUUGACAUGUCUGGAAGACCGCAGAGAUGUGGUUGUGCCCGAAAGGGAACCAGAACACAGGUGCUGCAUGGCUGUCGUCA
rnacentral:rRNA from 1 species